AGAAGAGUCAGUUGCAAAAAUUGGCAAUACUACAUAUGAUACUUCAUCCACCAUUUGCAAUCAAACAAAUGGAGAAGAAAAUAUAAUUUUCAUGAUGUGAUUUAUAUUUUAUAUGACGGAAUAAGCUUUCUGUGAUCCAACUGUGGACACAAGGGGAAAGAAACGUUUUGGAGGAUUGAUGAAAACCAGCUCUUCAUUGAGAUCUGAAAGCUAAGUAUCGGGUUUCUAUUUAAAAUUUUAAAAAUGCUAAUCAGCAGGUUAUUUAUUCAGAAUCCGUCAGCCUCCAAAAUGACAGAUCGGAGUUCCACAUAACUGAUCUUACUUAAGUACAUCUAUUUCCUGGUUUACCAAAAGUAAUACCUGUUAAUGGUGAAAUGAAGGUACUGGCAUUUGCACUGACUGUGCCCUUGAACUAAACAAACAUAAACCAAGUAGAGCUCACCUUUGUGCAGUGAUUUGACAUUAAAGCACAUGGAACACUUACUACAUUGUAUUGCUUUAACAAAAAUGUGUUUAUAUAUGUAUGCCAAAUAAAAAUUAUAUUGAGACAAAGUGAGAAGGGAGAUGAAGUCUGUGAAGUAAUUUGGCAAGCUGAUGAACCCAAUACGAGAAUUGACAUUGAAUAUCAACUGCUGCCUGAGAUAUUUAUAACAACCUCGUCAUUCUAACUGUUUGGAACUCAGACUGCACUCCAGUUAAAUUCCAAUGCAGACCGCUAAAAUAGUUAGAGUGUAGUUGCACGCAGCAUUUCAAUUGACGACUACGUAUGCCAGUUUGGCAAACAAUUUGCACAUUUAGUUGAGUGAAAUAAGCACAGACUGCUAGGUAAAUUUCAGUAAAUUGGCAUUACUUUGAACCUUUUGAGUAUCAGGCAGUUGAACCCAGUUUACCAUGAGCAGUUAGGUAGAAGCGCUGGAGCUUUGAAUGAAGAAGGAAUGAUUGAUUGCUCUAGGCCAAAAUAACUGGCGUAUUGUUCUGGUCAGUGCACAACAAAUGCUGAAACUGAUUUUAUAUCGACAGCUUAAAUGUCUUUGUGUUUCCACUGCAGUGGUAUAAAAUUGAAAUGCGUGUAUGUAUAAAUUGUUAGAGCUAUUAUUAAUGUUAUAACUUUUAUUCCAGAAUUCUCAUUUUUAAUUGUUUUCUAUUCAAGAUAUAAACAUUAGAUGUUCUCCAAAGAGCAUUGUCCAAAAUAUUCCAAGCUGCCUUCCUUGCCGAAAAUUGUGUUAUCACAACAGCAGCUCCUUAUUUGUGAAAGUUGGAAUCUCACGGAACAACAUCCAUGAAAUUCCAGAUCUCCUCCAACUCUUCAUGAUGAGAAUUGCCAGGAUACAUUAAAGUGGAGUCAUUCAAGUGAGGGCCAGGAUGGCCAGAAAUGAUACAGAACUGAUUUUAUGCCACAUUUGCGCUGAUCUGUACUUCUCUGUGGAUUGGAACAAAGACUAAAAUUAGUCGCUGAGUCUCUAGAGAAGCCUCUGAGGUCCAUGCAUGGCAGUGACUUCUGGAAUUCAAAGCUAAUGCCCAAUCCACAUCAGCAGAACAUCAGAACGACUGCUGUACAGCCUGGAGGAUAUGUUGUUUACAAAGCGCUGCUGCCAUGCAUAAAUAUCAUGACUGGGUUAUGGAUGCUUUUACUAGAUGCUAACUAAGUCAUACAAGUGCAAUCUAGUGAACAUUUAUUAAUGUUUUCAAAAACAUGAUUUGGCAGAACUCCAUUCAAAUCUUCUUUCAUCAGGUUCCAGUUCCAUAUAAUCACCACUGAUGCACUCUAGCUAUUAUUGUAAAUAACCAUUAACCCUUAUGUUGCAAGGACUAUCACCGACUCAUUGAUUCUAUCCUCAUACUUCCCUCCUGCACUGGCAAGGACAGUUUGUAAGCACUGAUUCCCUAUCUACUAUGGGCAAAUAGGUGGGUGAUGUCCAAACACAUGGUCGAUAUUCUUCCUCACCACCCCUGUGCUUCCUGGACCCUUUGAAAGUGGCGGUGAAAAUGGUGGGAAUGGCCUAAUUUUUCCCCAAUCAAGGGAACUGACCAUAAUAUAGCCUCCUUUGCCUCUAAUCUGGUGUUCCUCCUCAUCAAGGCCGAAAUAGCUGCCAGGGGCCAUUGAAAUAAGAAUCAGGAAACUGAUCAGGGAGAUCAGAGGUUGGAUCUCUAACCUUGCAAAUAAAUAUGGCUUAAUGCAAAAGUAGGAGCUGUAUCAAUGGUUACGGCAUAAGCACUACUCUGUCAUAAUCUUAAACAGCGAAAGGAUCCUUUGGAAUAGUCUUACAGGAAAACUGAUAGGAGCAAUUCUCUACAUAGUAACAUCCAAAUUUGUAUUGUAUUGUCAAUGCCACAAAGAAGAAAAAAGGAUUAAUCAGAAAACAAAUCAACAAAAGCCAGUGGCAUAAAAUUAUCCAUUUAUAAUACAUCAACAAUGACAUGUUGCCUACCUUACCACACAGAGUUUUAUCUUGUAUGAGCUGAGAAAUAAUAAUCAGAAUUAUUAAGUAACUGACAUGAUAAAAGUCAUUUUUCCUUCAGCUGUGGUGCAUUUCCAUGGUCUUCUGAUUUUAUAGCAGACUUUUAAUUAGUUCAGCUAUCUGUCUUAGUCAAUGAGGGUUCAAAAAACACAAGCAGUAAGCAGCAACCUCUGACUUGCAAUUAGAUUAUUUCCUAAUGGAGAAAUUUUCAUACACUCAAUACCUUAUGUUUACACUCAUGUUUCUACUUAAUGUGGGCUACGAGGAUUGAGGAGAAUAUUUUAUUCAAGUGAUAUUGGUUUUAAGGAACAGUUAAGUAUGUAGCAAAGAGUUUAGACUUCAGAAAGUACAAGGGUUAACAUCCCAAAACGAAGAUUAAAUCAUUUGACAGAAGGGGCAAAACCUUUUCUGUUGUGCCAGGGGUUGGAGACUGAAAGGUUAGUCACCUGUUGUUUAUUACAAGGUGAAUUGCAUUUAUUUAAUAAAGCCAUGACCUUUGUACAAAAAUGACGGUUUG